rnacentral:rRNA from 1 species
UCCAGAGGGGGCAAGCGUUGUUCGGAAUUACUGGGCGUAAAGGGCGCGUAGGCGGCCUGUUAAGUCGAACGUGAAAUCCCCGGGCUCAACCCGGGAACUGCGUCCGAUACUGGCAGGCUUGAAUCCGGGAGAGGGAUGCGGAAUUCCAGGUGUAGCGGUGAAAUGCGUAGAUAUCAGGAGGAACACCGGUGGUGUAGACGGCUUUCUGGACCGUAACUGACGCUGAGACACGAAAGCGUGGGUAGCAAACAGG